AACGAACGCUGGCGGCGUGGAUAAGACAUGCAAGUCGAACGAGAUUUUUUCCUGUAGCAAUACAGGGAAAAGUCUAGUGGCGAACGGGUGCGUAACACGUGGGCAAUCUGCCUUAAAGUG
rnacentral:rRNA from 1 species